ACACUUGAGCCGGAGGGGAUCCUUGCAGUGUUUGAUCACGGCAAGCACGUCCCUGAUGGUGAGCCCCGCCACGGGGGUCUCGUUUACUUCCAGCAGCAGUUCCUCAGACACCAACUUGCUGCCGCUCUCAUAGGCCACCUUGUCGGGCUUCACCUCCCCCAGGUAGGGGAACUGUCCAUUCUCGGCGCCCCCCUUCAGUUCGAAGCCCAGCUGGCCCUCCGGGUUCCUGCCAAUGACACUCUCAUGGACUUUGCUAGUCCAGUGGCUUUUCUUUUUCAAGCUUUUGGACAUGGCAGUGGGGCUACAGCACAACUGAAGAGAGAGAAGCCAUCUUGCCUCCAUGAUUGGACAAACAUGAAGAUAAAAGCUUCCCUGUGUGGAUGAUAGAGCAAAAUGAUAGAAGGGGCUCAGACUCCCUUCCUUCAGACUUCUUGAUAUAUCUUCAAAGAUGUCCAAUACUUCUGCUGUAGCAACACAGUGCUUCAUGGAAUCCUACAGUGAUUGUAUCUACGAAUUCACUGCACAAGCAUUUUAAGAAAUGUCCAAUUGUGCUUCAUCAACUUGCAGCUGCAGCAGUGAGAGAAGAUGCUGCCAGAGACCAAAAAACAGUCAGUAAACAAAACAGAAGCCCAGAAUGAUGACACCAGUGAUCUGAUCUGUUUUUGUGGAAAGAAGAUGAGUGACUCUACUGAACCUCUGUAAUACCCAGACGCACACUGGCAUUCGGUUUCCUUUUUCCUGAUAUCAACCCACUCUCGGGGAUGCCUUGUCCUGAGGUAUUAUGCAGCUCUCAUUUUGAGGAGAAAAUGAAGAAGAGGCAAUAUAUAAGAAAGUAAUGGCUGAGAAUUUACCAGAAAUGAUGAAAACAUAUAAAUCCACAAAUAUAGGAAGUAAGGUAUAUCACAGUAAAGCUAUCUUUAUAAAAAGAAGAAUGAAUGAAGACAUUUUUCCAGCAAGAAAAUUUUUGCAACAUCAUUAGAAAGAACUUUGCUAAAAUAACUUCUACAUACGUACUUCAAGAGAAAAGAAAAUGAUUACUGAAGGAAAAUGAGGGGUGCGAGACAGAAUGGUGAUCAAAGAGAAGACCAAAUAUGAAGUACGCGGGCCUCUCACUGCUGCGGCAGCUCCCGCUGCGGAGCACAGGCUCCGGACGCGCAGGCCCAGCGGCCGUGGCUCACGGGCCCAGCCGCUCCGCGGCAUGUGGGAUCCUCGCGGACCGGGGCACGAACCCGUGUCCCCUGCAUCGGCAGGCGGACUCUCAACCACUGCGC